UCUGAGAGCCUCGUUUGUGGAGAAUCUGAGGGAAAAGCUAUUUCUAACUUUUGUGUCUUUAAGCUUCAGAGAACACACAGAUUUGGAACAAAGGAAAGGCAGAAGAACUAAAGAGCAAGACCAAUCAAGAAAGUGUAAUAUAAGUCUCUGAUCACAUCAUGUCUGCUGUCCAGUUCCUAAAAGUAACUCAUAUGGCCAAGUCCAAGAGAAUAUUACUGAGGUACAAACAUUUUGAUUGCGUAUACUACUGUUGCACCACCAGAGUCAGAACUACAGGUGUUCCCAUCCCCCAGACUGUGCACACCACACCCACUGGAUUUUCAUAGAAGUAUUUAUUGCUCGAAGACUUCUGGAAGCAAUCAGAAGGCAUGAGGUGGUUACUGAGAAGCCAAUGCUGUUCUCCUAAUUUAAUUAGGAACAUUUCCAAAUUCAUUGCUCAAUUUUAAGUGUCCAUAAAUUCCAGACUGCUCAUAUGCUCUAUGGCAUAUUUUUG